AACGAACGCUGGCGGCAGGCCUAACACAUGCAAGUCGAACGCACCGCAAGGUGAGUGGCGCACGGGUGAGUAACACGUGGGAAUGUACCCUUUGGUUCGGAAUAACGUUUGGAAACGAACGCUAAUACCGGAUGAGCCCCGUGGGGGAAAGAUUUAUCGCCAAAGGAGCAGCCCGCGUCUGAUUAGCUAGUUGGUGGGGUAAAGGCCUACCAAGGCGACGAUCAGUAGCUGGUCUGAGAGGACGACCAGCCACACUGGGACUGAGACACGGCCCAGACUCCUACGGGAGGCAGCAGUGGGGAAUUUUGGACAAUGGGCGCAAGCCUGAUCCAGCAAUGGCCGCGUGCAGGAUGAA
rnacentral:rRNA from 1 species